rnacentral:rRNA from 1 species
AACGAACGCUGGCGGCAUGCCUAACACAUGCAAGUCGAACGGGAUCCAGGCUUCGGCCAGGUGAGAGUGGCGGACGGGUGAGUAACACGUGGGAACCUGCCUUUUGGUUCGGGAUAACCGCGGGAAACUGCGGCUAAUACCGGGUGCUCCCGAGAGGGGAAAGAUUUAUCGCCAGAAGAGGGGCCCGCGUCCGAUUAGGUAGUUGGUGAGGUAAUGGCUCACCAAGCCGACGAUCGGUAGCUGGGUCUGAGAGGAUGAUCAGCCACACUGGGACUGAGAUACGGCCCAGACUCCUACGGGAGGCAGCAGUGGGGAAUAUUGGACAAUGGGGGCAACCCUGAUCCAGCAAUGCCGCGUGAGUGAUGAAGGCCUUAGGGUUGUAAAGCUCUUUUGCCAGGGAAGAUGAUGACUGUACCUGGAGAAUAAGCCCCGGCUAACUUCGUGCCAGCAGCCGCGGUAAU